GGGCCCGCACAAGCGGUGGAGCAUGUGGUUUAAUUCGAUGAUACGCGAGGAACCUUACCAGGGCUUAAAUGUAGUGGGACAGGUCUAGAGAUAGACCCUUCUUCGGACUCAUUACAAGGUGCUGCAUGGUUGUCGUCAGCUCGUGCCGUGAGGUGUCAGGUUAAGUCCUAUAACGAGCGCAACCCCUGUUGUUAGUUGCCAGCGAGUCAUGUCGGGAACUCUAACAAGACUGCCGGUGCAAACCGUGAGGAAGGUGGGGAUGACGUCAAAUCAUCACGGCCCUUACGUCCUGGGCUACACACGUGCUACAAUGGUAUCUACAACAGGAAGCAAGACUGCGAAGUUAAGCAAAUCCUUAAAAGAUACCUCAGUUCGGAUUGCACUCUGCAACUCGAGUGCAUGAAGCUGGAAUU
rnacentral:rRNA from 1 species